CCCGGCUCAUUUUUUGUAUUUUUAGUAGAGACGGGGUUUCACUGUAUUAGCCAGGAUGGUCUCCAUCUCCUGACCUCGUGAUCCUGACCUCGGCUUCCCAAAGUGCUGGGAUUACAGGCGUGAGCCACUGCGCCCGGCAGCAAUAUGAAGUUCUAAAAGCAAGUCUUAAUCAGGAAGUGUCCUUGAUCACCAACUGCUUGCCCAGGCACGCUGGCUCUCUUACACUUCCACCUCCCACCAUGGGAUGACACAGUAAGAAGGCCGUCAGUAGAUGCCAGUCCCUCAGCCUUGAACCUUCCAGACUCAGAACUUUAUACCUCCAUUUUCCUCUGCUGCGUGGCCCCAGGAGAGAUUUUAAUUAGCUUUCUAACCUUGGUCCAGAUUGCACAUGCAAAGGGUAGAGGAUGCAACACCCCCGCUUGUGGAGCUGCCACUUGUCUCUGGCAUGGUGGGUUCAACAUUUGCUGCAAGUC
rnacentral:sRNA from 1 species